rfam:Ornithorhynchus anatinus chromosome 5, whole genome shotgun sequence.
UGCCUCUCAGGGUCAGACCUGGAGAGUUUUCAGUACUCUGCCAGUCUCAACUAUGGGAGGGAGAGUCAAGCAGAGACCUGCCCAUUCCAUUAAUAGCUUGAACAGUGGCUAGCGAGUGGAAGGCAAUCUGCUACAAGC